CGAUAACGGCGUCGAGCGGCGGACGGGUGAGUAAUGCCUAGGAAAUUGCCCUGAUGUGGGGGAUAACCAUUGGAAACGAUGGCUAAUACCGCAUGAUGCCUACGGGCCAAAGAGGGGGACCUUCGGGCCUCUCGCGUCAGGAUAUGCCUAGGUGGGAUUAGCUAGUUGGUGAGGUAAGGGCUCACCAAGGCGACGAUCCCUAGCUGGUCUGAGAGGAUGAUCAGCCACACUGGAACUGAGACACGGUCCAGACUCCUACGGGAGGCAGCAGUGGGGAAUAUUGCACAAUGGGCGCAAGCCUGAUGCAGCCAUGCCGCGUGUGUGAAGAAGGCCUUCGGGUUGUAAAGCACUUUCAGUCGUGAGGAAGGUAGUGUAGUUAAUAGCUGCAUUAUUUGACGUUAGCGACAGAAGAAGCACCGGCUAACUCCGUGCCAGCAGCCG
rnacentral:rRNA from 1 species